rnacentral:rRNA from 1 species
GACGAACGCUGGCGGCGUGCUUAACACAUGCAAGUCGAACGGAAAGGCCCUGCUUUUGUGGGUUGCUCGAGUGGCGAACGGGUGAGUAACACGUGAGUAACCUGCCCUUGUCUUUGGGAUAACUUCAGGAAACUGGGGCUAAUACCGGAUAGGAGCUCCUGCUGCAUGGUGGGGGUUGGAAAGUUUCGGCUGUUGGGGCUGGACUCGCGGCUUAUCCGCUUGUUGGUGGGGUAGUGGCUUACCAAGGCUUUGACGGGUAGCCGGCCUGAGAGGGUGACCGGCCACAUUGGGACUGAGAUACGGCCCAGAAUCCUACGGGAGGCAGCAGUGGGGAAUAUUGCACAAUGGGCGGACGCGUGAUGCAGCAACGCCGCGUGCGGGAUGACGGCCUUCGGGUUGUAAACAGCUUUCGCCUGUGACGAAGCGUGAGUGACGGUAAUGGGUAAAGAAGCACCGGCUAACUACGUG